rnacentral:lncRNA from 1 species
GUAAAGUUCACCUCCACGGUUUAUUGGUUACAUUUGAUUUUGGAGUAUGGGAGCUGUGUUUUCUAUGUUUGGGGUUAGGAAGAGAGUAUAAAGAGAAUUCUUGUCCAAUUUCACUCAAAGGUCAUUUAAUGAGAAAGGGAUGACUUUUAAACCAUUAUCCAAACUAAAAUUCUCAUUGGCAGCAAGCUGUACAACAGCAGGAAGGGGGCAGGGCUAGGGAACGGGACAUGAGGUUUCUAUCUUUGCCUGUGUAAUUUUAACAUAUUGAAGAUUCUGAAAACUUAUCUCUUUUGGAGAAAAAUAUCCCCCUUAAUGUUGGCCUUCUGUAAGCAGAAUAAUAAGUGCAAUAGUUGUAAAUCUACUUGACACUAUAAUAAACCGAACUGAACCUUUCCAAAAAAA